GUGGUCACAAGCAUUUUAAGCAGCACAUAUACUAAAAUUGGAACGAUACAGAGAAGAUUAGCAUGGCCCUUACCCAAGGAUGAAAAAAUAAAAAUUAAACAAAAAGUU
ensembl:snRNA U6 U6 spliceosomal RNA